AUACGUAGGGGGCGAGCGUUGUCCGGAAUGAUUGGGCGUAAAGGGCGCGUAGGCGGCGCGGUAAGUCUGGAGUGAAAGUCCUGCUUUCAAGGUGGGAAUUGCUUUGGAUACUGCCGCGCUUGAGUGCAGGAGAGGUUAUCGGAAUUCCCGGUGUAGCGGUGAAAUGCGUAGAGAUCGGGAGGAACACCAGCGGCGAAGGCGGGUAAGUGGACUGCAACUGACGCUGAGGCGCGAAAGUGUGGGGAGCAAACAGGAUUAGAUACCCUGGGAGUCCACACUGUAAACGAUGAGUGCUAGGUGUAAGAGGUAUCGACCCCUUUUGUGCCGGAGUCAACACAAUAAGCAUUCCGCCUGGGGAGUACGGCCGCAAGGUUGAAACUCAAAUGAAUUGACGGGG
rnacentral:rRNA from 1 species